rnacentral:lncRNA from 1 species
AAUGUAAAUUAAAUUAUACAUUUUUAUUUAAACUACCAUACAAAAUAUAUUGGAUGGGCUGCUAUGUUUUCCUGUUUUAUUUUAUAAACAAAACAGAAAGUAUGGAAGGUUAUUUUAUGUAUUAAAUUAAAUGGAAAAAUGCAUAAGUUCCUUGAAUUUCUUUAAUAUUGUUAAAAAAAAUACAUUUAAUAUGAUUUCAAUUAAAUAUUCAUAAUUACUUAAAGAAAAAAAAAACUAAUAAUACUUUUAUUUUUAUUAAUAGUUAUUAAUAAUUAGAUUAGAAGGUCUGCAUUAGUUAAAACUUAAAUAAAUUAAAAAUAUAUGCAUUAUUAGUUUCCAUAUCUACCUAUACAAUUUAUAAUAGUUUCUUAUUAAUCUCAAUCGUUUUAUUAUUAAGGAUAUUAAAAUUAAUUUUAUUUAACAGUAUUUUAAGUUAAAUAAAUUUAACUAAAUAUUCCUAUACAAUAAAACAUUUUGUUAAUAUAGAUAUAAACAUUCCUUUAAAUUUAGUAAAAAUAAAUACAUAGUAUGUUUUUGAAAUAAAUUAAUAAUUUGAUUUUACAUAAAAUAUAAAUGACUUGCUAUUUAGUCUAUUUCUUUUUAUUCAAUUCCUUUUGUGGCCUUAUCCAAGUGAUGUAAUGAAUUUUUCUAAGACAAACAAUUGAAUUAACUACAAUCUCUUUAUUAAUUACUUCCUAUCAAAUCUCCUUUAUAACAACAUCUAUUCUUCUUACUCUUGAUCCUUUUUAAUUUCAAAGUCACAGUUGCUUUGCUCCUUUAUGGCCCUUUCCAUACUACUGUUCUCAAAUUUAAUUUGGAGCACAAGUAUUUGUUCUUAAUAUUUAAAUCACGUCUUUCUAUAUUCAUGAAUAAUAUGUUUAUGUAUAUACUUUAUAUUUUUAUUAUUAUUUUUAAUUUGUCUCUCUUUUAGUAUUUAAAUACCUAGUUGGUGAACUAUUACUUGUAAUUUAGGUUAUGUUCAUAUAAUAAAUAAAUACAUUAGUUAAUAAAUAUUCAAUCAAAAUUUAAAAAAAAAAUACAAUAAUAAUUGUUUGGGUAUGUAGAAUUUGUAUUAAAGUUUACAUUUCUUAUAUAAUUAAAUCAAAAAUAAAAUUUAUUCAAUAAUACAGGCAUCCUUUUAGAAUUAUUUUUAUACUAAGUUACUUUAUCUUUAUCACUCUUGCAUCAUAAUAAAAUCCUUGAUAAAAUAAUACAAUUACAAUAAAAUCGUAUAUCUCAAAAUAAUCUGAACAUAAUAAAGAAAUAAAAACUAAUUGUGCUAAAAUUACAUGCUUAAUAUAAUCUCAUACAAAUUAUUGAAUAUAUUCAGGAUUAUUUAUUUAAAUGAUAUUAUAUUACUGGUGAUGACUUGGAUCAUCAGUACAUAUACAUGGACAAAACCUUAGUAAAAUAUAUUAUGUCCGACAUGUUCAGCAGUCUGUUCAAAACUAAUUUUGGACAAACCAUUUUGUUUAAACCAUAUAGGUAGUAGCCCUAUCCAAAUUAUCUAAAGAUUCAAGGAUGAUUUAUUAUCACCAUGAAUGUAUUUCAUAUAAUAUUAUAUUAAUUUAAUAAUUGAUAUUAAUAAUAAUAAUAAUCAAUAUUAAGUAUACUUAUAAAUACAGAUUAUUAAUAGUGUUACUAGUGUAUUGAUAUAUUUGAAGCCACUAGUUAUUGAAAAUAUGAUUUAUAUUUAUAGUCCUUGUUUUACAGAUUAACUCAAAUAUUUUUAUUUAAUCUUGAAUUGUAUUCCAAUAGGUUUAAUACUAAUAUAUUACAUUAUAUUUUAUAAAUGUCAUAAAUUAAUAAUAGUUUAAUAAUGUUGCAAGAUUUUCACCAACACCAUCUCAAUGUUAUAACAUCUGUUUAGUGAUACAAAUAUUAUUUAUCAUUCAUAAAUUACAUCUUGUUAUGUAAUCAAGAAUGUUGGUCAACCUUAACUAAAAAUUAUAUUUAGAUAAAAGUAUAUAUAUUUUAUUUAAAAAAAUAACUUACUUUAAAUGGCAUUAAAAUAUUGUUUAAGUUUAAUUUUUUAAUAAUUAAAAUAUUGUUUAAGUUUAAUGUUUUAAUUAUUAAAAUAUUGUUUAAGUUUAAUUUUUUCAUUAUUACUAUAUGUUUAGUUAAUGUAUUUUGAUUCAUGAUGACUAUUUCAUUUAUGUCUCUGGCAUAUUAUAAUUUGUUAUGUUUAAAAGUACUUUAAAAUAAAUGUAAAUAAUAUUAUAUUAUAUUUUGAAAUAUUACAAUAAUUAUUAUUCUUUAUUCUACAUUCUAUUAAAUGUUGUAUAAAUUUAAGUUUUUGAACCCUCUUUACUAUUCUGUACUGACAAUCCAGGUUAAGUGAAAAAGUCAGGCCAGUACUUAAGUUCAGUAUAGAAAAACAAUUUAUAAUCAAAAAUGUUAUUGUUUAAGACUUAAAUUUUAUGUAUGUUUUAUUAAAUAUUAUUUUCAUUAUGCAAAUCUAUAAAAUUAAUCCAAUACCUAAUUCUAUGAAUGUUAAAUAUUUAGUACCUGCUUAAUGUUCCUUUUUUUUUUUUUUUUUUUUUAAUUCACCCGUUAUUUGUUUAUUUAACAAACGGCAUUAAAGUUUUUAUAACUGUUAAAUGUUUGUUACUACAGUGUAAUUUUAUAUGACAAGUACUAUUAUAAAACUACUAAAAAUUUAAUUCCAUACUUUGUAUAAUAUUUAAAUUGUGUAUCUUUUAUAUUUAAUAAUAUUAGACUCAAUAAAUAUAAUAGAUUCAUUGUAUUUUAUAUCAAAUUAUAUUAAUUGUAGAAUUGUAGGAUUGAUAAUAUUUUCUUCAAUCAAUCACAUUUAACAAUAUUAUAACUUAAAUCAAAUUAUAAUAAUAAAUUUUGUCAUUUAAUUAUUUUCUUACUGUUUGUAUUGGAUUAUAAAAAUGGUUUAUUUUAUAUUUCUAAAUAAUAUUGUUUACAGAGUAAAACCGUUGUAUUUAAAUUUAACAUACACCUUAUUGUAGCUAUUAGAUGUAAUAAUAUAUUCAGCAUAAAUAUUAAUUUUU